rnacentral:tRNA from 1 species
ACAUUGGUGGUUCAGUGGUAGACUUCUCACCUUCCAAAUGGGAGACCUGGGUUCAAUUCCCAGCCAAUGCA